UGGGAAAUUUUCCGCAAUGGGCGAAAGCCUGACGGAGCAAUGCCGCGUGGAGGUGGAAGGCCUACGGGUCGUCAACUUCUUUUCUCGGAGAAGAAACAAUGACGGUAUCUGAGGAAUAAGCAUCGGCUAACUCUGUGCCAG
rnacentral:rRNA from 1 species